GUGUCAGUACAAGCCGACUUAAGGUGAAACCGCGAAUGGCUCAGUAAAUCAGUUACGGUUCAUUUGAUGAAUUGUAAAAAGACUUGGAUAACUGUGGCAAUUCCAGAGCUAAUACAUGCCAUGAAGUCCCGACCUUGCGGAAGGGACGCUUUUAUUAGAAUACGUAACUAACCGAGGUUUGGCAGAAAUGUCUUACCGAAACUCCCAGUGAUGAAUCUGAGUAACAUUGAACAGAUCGCAUGGCCUUCGAGCAAGGCGACGCAUCAUUCAAACGCCUGCUCUAUCAACUUUGAUGGCCGCUUAUACGCCUACCAUGGUGUUGACGGGUGACGGGGAAUCGGGGUUCGAUUCCGGAGAGGGAGCCUGAGAAACUGCUACCACAUCCAAGGAAGGCAGCAGGCGCGCAAAUUACCCACUCCCGGCACGGGGAGGUAGUGACGAAGUAUAACGAUACGGGACUCCCAUCCGAGGCCCCGUGAUCGGAAUGAGACCGGUUCAGAGAACUGGUCCGAGUAUCCAUUGGAGGGCAAGCCUGGUGCCAGCAGCCGCGGUAAUUCCAGCUCCAAUAGCAUAUACUAAUGUUGUUGCGGUUAAAAAGCUCGUAGUCAGAGUUGUGUCCCGCGCUGCCGGUCCACAGACUGUCUGUGCCGACUGCGCACGCCGCGAGGACGUCCUGGCCGGUAGCGGUGCAGCCGAAAGUUCCGACGAGGUUCAGGUUCGCCCUGUGCCGAGAAGGUUCCGAGGCGAUCCGCAUUUUUAGGUCCCGACCUGGUGCUCUUAAUCGAGUGCCUAGGAGGGCCGGCACUCUUACUUUGAACAAACUCGAGUGCUCAAAGCUGGCCUUCUGGCCUAGACGCUGUGUGCAUGGAAUAAUGGAAUAGGACUUUGGUUCUAUUUGGUUGGUUCAUAGAACCGAAGUAAUGAUCAAAAGGAGCAGGCGGGGGCAUUCGUACUGCGACGUUAGAGGUGAAAUUCUUAGAUCGUCGCAAGACGGACAAAAGCGAAAGCAUUUGCCAAGGAUGUUUCCACUGAUCAAGAGCGAAAGUUGGAUGAUCGAAGGCGAUCAGAUACCGCCCUAGUUCUAACUAUAAAUGAUGCCAGCCAGCUAUGCACCGCAGUCGCCUUUGACUCGGAGCGAAGCUUCCGGGAAACCAGAGCUUUCAGGUUCCGGGGGAAGUAUGGUUGCAAAGCUGAAACUUAAAGGAAUUGACGGAAGGGCACCACAAGGAGUGGAGCUUGCGGCUUAAUUUGACUCAACACGGCAAAAUUUACCAAGGCAGGACAAACGUAGGAUUGACAGAUUGAAGAUCUCUCUUGAUUGUUUGGGUGGUGGUGCAUGGCCGUUCUUAGUUCGUGGAUUGCUCCGUCUGGUUAAUUCCGAUAACGAACGAGACUCUAACCUGCUAAAUAGUCCAAAUUGAGAUCCCUUCGGGGCUAUCUGAGAGAAACCCUUCUUAGAGGAAACAGCGGCCUCGAGUCGCAUGAUAUAGAGCAAUAACAGGUCUGGUAUGCCCUUAGAUGUCUUGGGCCGCACGCGUGCUACAAUGAAGAAAGCAGCGUGAAAAAUCCUAGGCCGAGAGGUCCGGGUAAUCAGCUCAAACUUUUUCAUGCAGGGGAUAGGGGCUUGCAAUUGACCCCUUGAACAAGGAAUUCCCAGUAGGCGCGAGUUAGGAGCUCGUGUCGAUUGAGUCCCUGCCCUUUGUCCACACCGCCCGUCGCUACUUCCGAUCGAAUGGGGUAGUGAGGUCUCCGGACCGAUGCUAUAGGUCCAAAAAACCUUAGCUUUGGGAGGCUGACCAAACUUGCUCGUUUAGAGG
rnacentral:rRNA from 1 species